GGAGAUGGCUGGCGAGACGGAGAGCUUCCUCCGCCAACUUUGUGAUUAGCGUUUGAACUGUUAGGUGUAGUAACCACUAAACCUCUGUCAGUGUACAGCCUACAGAGCAAGCCAUAUAUAUUGGAGAUUAUAUAAAGGGGUAAUAAGAGAGCCCUGCCAAACACCGACCGACAGCGAUCGAGGGACAGACUCAGAGUUCUGUAUUAACAGAGCCCUGGGAAACACCGACCGACAGCGAUCGAGGGACAGAGUCAGAGUGCUGUAUUAACAGAGCCCCGGCAAAAAUCACUUUGCUUCCCGACUGCAAUUGAAGGCUGAAAUAAAACGUGUGUCGCUUCCGUCUGUUAUUAAACCUGUUCUGUGAAAGUCAAUGUUGGGUUCUAAUGUGUUUUUUUUUUACCUAACAAAACAAAAUAUGAAACGAAUUAUUUCAUCUCAGACGGCAUUGUUGAUGAAUGUGAAUCACAGCUGAUAGUUCCACGCAGUAACAUCGCAGAGCUGGAGCAGGAUUCCACUGUGACAGAAAUCCACAGAGACUCUUAUCUGACCGCCAGACCCCAAUGCUGUAGCAUCUCUAUGAAGAACUGCGGUUCUGAUGACGUCACUCUGUGUUUAACUUUAUAUAGCCGACUGUGGCUCUCAAACUAAGCAAGCCACGCCCUUUCACCAACCAGAGCCCGAGUUUCUCACACGUUCACGCCCCUCACAUGACGUUUUCAAGCUCUGCCUCCUCAUGCCUGUACAAUGGGUUGGCCGUGCUCCUGCUGGGAAUGUGCAGCUGAAACUGGGAGGAGAUGGCUGGCGAGACGGAGAGCUUCCUCCGCCAACUUUGUGAUUAGCGUUUGAACUGUUAGGUGUAGUAACCACUAAACCUCUGUCAGUGUACAGCCUACAGAGCAAGCCAUAUAUAUUGGAGAUUAUAUAAAGGGGUAAUAAGAGAGCCCUGCCAAACACCGACCGACAGCGAUCGAGGGACAGACUCAGAGUUCUGUAUUAACAGAGCCCUGGGAAACACCGACCGACAGCGAUCGAGGGACAGAGUCAGUGUGCUGUAUCAACAGAGCCCCGGCAAACACCGACCGACAGCGAUCGAGGGACAGAGUCAGUGUUCUGUAUUAACAGAGCCCUGGGAAACACCGACCGACAACGAUCGAGGGACAGAGUCAGUGUGCUGUAUUAACAGAGCCCUGUGAAACACCGACCGACAGCGAUCGAGGGACAGAGUCAGUGUGCUGUAUUAACAGAGCCCUGUGAAACACCGACCGACAGCGAUCGAGGGACAGAGUCAGUGUGCUGUAUUAACAGAGCCCUGCCAAACACCGACCGACAGCGAUCGAGGGACAGAGUCAGUGUUCUGUAUUAACAGAGCCCUGGGAAACAUCGACCGACAGCGAUCGAGGAGGAGGAGUCAGUGUGCUGUAUUAACAGAGCCCUGGGAAACACCGACCGACAGCGAUCGAGGGACAGAGUCAGUGUGCUGUAUUAACAGAGCCCUGUGAAACACCGACCGACAGGGAUCGAGGGACAGAGUCAGUGUUCUGUAUUAACAGAGCCCUGGGAAACACCGACCGACAGCGAUCGAGGGACAGAGUCAGUGUUUUGUAUUAACAGAGCCCUGUCAAACACCGACCGACAGCGAUCGAGGGACAGAGUCAGAGUGCUGUAUUAACAGAGCCCUGUGAAACACCGACCGACAGCGAUCGAGGGACAGAGUCAGUGUGCUGUAUUAACAGAGCCCUGGGAAACACCGACUGACAGGGAUCGAGGGACAGAGUCAGUGUGCUGUAUUAACAGAGCCCCGGCAAACACCGACCGACAAUGUUCGAGCGGGCGGAGUCAGUGUGCUGUAUUAAUAGCACCCUGGCAAGGCAGAGCAGCUCAGACCUGCACCAUCAGCACACAGCAACAGCAACAGCAGCAGCAACAGCAAGUCCAUGCAUCUCUCUGUUAGUUUUACAGAUCCAACUCGUAAAAUUGUACCUGUCGGAAGAAUGGCUGAUCUAUUCUUUGUGAAAGAUCUAUCCUUUCGCUUUCUAGGACUCUCUGUCAGUGUUUCUUCAGCAGCCAUUGGACGGAAGGAGUUCCUUGGCCUGGUUGGGCUCGCAACAGUGGGAGUGGUUCUCUGCAAAUACAUGGAUAUUGCUCUGGGGACAAGCCGGAACAGCCGGAACGCGGAACUCCGAACUCCGAACUCGGAACGCGGAACUCAGAACUCGGAACUCUUGCCGACAGCGCGCUCUGUGAUUGAACAGAACCCGCUUCAGAGCUAACAGCGUGCCAUCGGCUUUGGAGGCUGGACUUGUGUCAUCGGCUUUGGAGGCUGGACUUGUGUCAUCGGCUUUGGAGCCUGGACUUGUGCCAUCGGCUUUAGAGGCUGGACUUGUGUCAUCGGCUUUGGAGGCUGGACUUGUGUCAUCGGCUUUGGAGCCUGGACUUGUGCCAUCGGCUUUAGAGGCUGGACUUGUGGAGGCUUUUCUACUGUAUAAUAAUGCUGGACAGGAGGGUGGAAAUAUGAAGGCUGCCCCUGUGUUUGCAGAUCUGUAGAUGGAUUCAUAAGAUGAUGAUCUAAUGAAAUGAAACGUGUAUAUAUCUUGGAUUGUGAUUAAAAUAUUUUUCUGACAGUUUUGGUUUUGCAGCAUUGCAUUUUUCUGCACAGCAAUUUGAUCUCAAAUGACAAAUACAUAUUUUCCAGUAAACUUGCAUGCACUCGAUUGUGGUUUUGAUAAACUGGGCAUUAUAACUCGGCAUUAUUAGUGUUUACUACAAAAAAAACAAUUGAACUUCAAACACUAACAUCACAAAGCUGGAGCGCUCGUUACAGCAUCGGAAUCCUCUCACACGCACACGCACACGCAUACAGUAAACUGGAAUCUAUCGCUAACUGAUGACGAAAAGCAUAAAUCAGUGAAUAUUUCUUGAAAGUUGGCCUCUCUUUUUCCAGCAGGUCGAGCUAUGGUGUUGAAACUCUCUGCUCGUGAUUGUGAUGUUGCUCAUUAUCCCAGCAAUAAAUCAAUUCAAAGGAUGCGCUCGUUUCAAUCACUGCCAGACAAAUACAUCUGGGCUGAAUUACUUGGUUAUGAAAUAUAAAUACAGAAGUGAUCAUUGAUUGUCUGUGCUUAAAAAAAAAAAAGACUACAGCUUAGUAAGUACUUGUUUUAAACGAUGCAAUUUAGGUUUUCACAAACCACAUAACCAGGUGUUGGCUGAAUUCUACAGAAACGCGCCUUUAAGUACAGAUGAGAACAGAACUCUGAACCCUACCUGUUAGGGUUACCAUAUGCCUCCAGAUUAACCGGACGCUGUGAGACAGAACGGGAUUUCAAACUUGCCCCUAAAUUGAAAUAAAUGAAGGUGUAAAUGAACCAUCCUUAGCUACAAUUAAGAAUGGUGCUUAAAUACCCGCAUGCGCGUCAAAUAAUUGUAUUAUACUAAGAAUGAAUUGCAGCCAGUCGUUAUUUUUUCCUGUUUGUUAAAAUUCAAUCGGCCAUAUUAUUCUGCAAAUACAAUCGCAUCAUCAUCUCGUUGCUCUAUCGAUAAAUUAGCUGUUCGUUCAUUAAGAUCUGAUCAGAAGCAGCUGAUCAGUGUGACUUGUUUGCCGCGCCCAAGCAAUUCCACCACAGCAGGAUUAAUCUCAGCAAAGGUGGAGCUCAUUUAUACGUGAAUUACUUUCAGUUUAGGGGGAAUUUUGAAAUCCCGGUCUGUCUCAAAGCGUCAAUCUGGAGCCAUAUGGUAACCCUACUACCUGUUCAAAAAGACUCCUGUGUGUUUACAGUGGAGCCAUCUCAGGCCUCAGCUAUCAAGUCAUGUUUGCACUGCCUUUGUUAUGAAAAUUAAAACAUAUCUUGUGACUGUUCUGUUGUGAAGUGCGUGCUGUGACUCAUGUAAUAGGGGCCGGUCUAGGGAGUUUGUGAUGAUAAACAAGCGCUUCCUGUCGCAUCUUUGCAGAGGCGCACGGACGGUCCUAUUGGAAGUGACUCUGCAGCAGCCACUGACUCCAUGUGUGUGUGUGUGUGUGUGUGUGUGUGUGUGUGUGUGUGUGUGACCCUGGGCGAGUCGCUUUACCUCCUUGUGCUCCGUCCUACGGAUGAGACGUCAAACAAACGAGCUCCUAUUGGAAGUGACUCUGCAGCAGCCACUGACUCCAUGUGUGUGUGUGUGUGUGUGUGUGUGUGUGUGUGUGUGUGUGUGUGUGUGUGUGCGUGUGACCCUGAGCAAGUCGCUUCACCUCCUUGUGCUCCGUCCUACGGAUGAGACGUCAAACAAACGAGCUCCUAUUGGAAGUGACUCUGCAGCAGCAGUUGUUGAUGAUGCAGAGUUCACCUCCCUGGUCUCUGGAAGUUUGCUAAAUGACUCAUUUAUUGCACAAUUAAUGAGAUCAAUCUUGUUAUGUAUUUGUUAAAUUUAUUAAAAUAUUUGAAUAUGCUGUCACUUGAUUGAUUACUGCUGGGUUUUUUUUACAGUCGUCUUAAAAUAAUAAUAAUGUCUGUAGUUUUAUAUAGCGCCUUUCCUAGGGGACCACCAGCACAAAGCGCUUUACAGAGGCAGGCUGUGAACUCUGCAUUAUAUGCAGAGUCGCUUCCAAUAGGACCUUGAUUUAUCUCGUCCGCAGGAUGGAGCACAAGGAGGUCAGGUGACUUGCUCAGGGUCACACACAGUGAGUCAGUCAGUGGCAGA